AACACGCACUGAAAAGUAAUCCAUGGGAAACCAAUGACCUGACACCUACCUGCGUAAUUAUGAGGCCACCAACCUGACAACUACCAUCGCAGGUUGUUCGUCGUCAUCAUCGACGUCAUCAAUGUCAAUGUCUUCUGAUUCUGGGUCUAGAUCGUACAUUUCUUCGUUAGUCAUCGCUGUGUUUUCUGAAGCUGUGACGUUGCCCCUAUUUGUGUCGUCACUGGUCUUCCGUUUCACAGAAUAUCAUCACCGAGGAACUUCGGAAUUUCACAUCCUGAGUAGAAUUCCUGGCGAUUGAUUAAGUCAUUAGAAGCAAAACCAGCAUGACGAUAGCACGGCUAGAGGUGUGCAAACAACACCUGUACGGAAGGUGUGAUGUGUGUAUCAAUACCCCCACUCCACCGCGUGCUUGCUUGGCGACCGCAUUGCUUGGGUCUCGUAAAACCCCAAUAUAAACAAGAGACCCUCACAAACCUCCCCAUUCAUUGUCAACAUGGGUCUAGUAAUUAAUAUCUGGUGGGAUGAUAAGCAAAGACAAGAAGCUAGCACAGAUGGGUGUUUUACGACAAAUAUACAUCAAAAGAUAUUAUCAUACUCAACCAUCCAUGUUUAAACUUGUGUAACUUAUUUCAAUAAGAAAUAGAAAAACAUUAUGUAAUUUAGCAUGUUUUUUGAUAAAUGCGCGGAGCAUAAGAAAAUAUUAUGUUUUUUGGCGUGAUUAUUAUAGAUAAUUGUACUAUACCAAUGAGAUGUUUCUCUAGGUCAAUAAACUACAAUUUAAUAUUUUUUUUUAGAAAUUCAUUCUUGCAUACUUAUGUGUCCUUGAAAAUAGAAUGUAAAUGAUAGAUGUUGUAUUUCUUGAAAACAUUACGAAAAUUGAGUCCAUUAGAUUUUUGUUUUACUUAUUUGCUCAAUUUCAUUUUAUUUGAAUUGUUUCUAGAAUGACCAAGUUAUUUCCCUGCGUGUUAUAUCCUAAGUACGCUGUGUUUCGUAUGGCUUUUUAUCUCUCUUUUUUUUUUUUUUAAACUGAGAAUAUGCUAUUUUUGAUUAUUUAUCUUAAAAUACUAACAUUAUCUAUAUUCAUAGCAAAAACAUAUUCCAUUUAUACUUUAGCACUCUUGGCGUAUUGCAUGCAAUGACGUCCUUCCACAGAACUCCGGUUUUUUUCUGUCUGUAUGACUUCACCUAUUGCGGUGUUUCUAAGAUUUCGAGUAAAAAUUAACUUUAAUACUUAUCUCGUCAUCAGCCGUGCUGAAGGAUUAUUAUUGUGCAAAGAGUGCGUAAGCCCAAUAAUCAGGGUCAAAAUGAUUCACUGAGGUUCCUACGAAAAGGCAAGAUGACUCAUAUUUCAUGUAACAACUGCUGGGUGCCGGGUCUAUAUUUUUGGUCUUUACCGAUAAACACAUCACAAAGGUUAGUACAUAAUAGAUUAUCGACUAUAUCAGGCUGAUAACGGUGUGUGAAACAUUUCUAUUCAAAAUAUAACUUAAUCUUGUUUCAAUAGAUCAGGAUGUUGCAACCAAUACCACUGAUUCAGGAUGUUGCAACUUGGAAAUCUCUUCAACUAAGUAAAUUUAAUAAAAAAUAAAGUACCUGUGUUUCUGUCAACAUCAGAGAGGUUGCCACCUCGAACCUUUUUGGUCUGGACAGGUAUUUGUUCAUCUUGAAUUGCCUCUCUAGUUCCAGGAGCUGCUGACUCGUGAAAGCUGUUCUCGGCCGACGAGUUUUACCCAGUAAAUUGGACUGCUGCUGGGCUGAAAAUCAACGAUAGAUAAUGUGAAAUAUGAGGAUAACGAACAGUGAUCAAUCUCAUUAUUCCCACAUAUAAUAAAAAAAUAAGAAUAGGGCAAACAUGGACCCCUGGACACAUCAGAGGUGGGAUCGGGUGCCUAGGAGGCGCAAGUGCCCCAUGUUAAACGUUCACACACCCUGUGAGCCCUAUAACGGAGAAACCCGUAGCCAAAAUCAGUAUGUAAAGAAUGAUCUAACAAUUGGUAUGAAAUUAGUCGGGUUUAUGUUUAGAAAAGAAUAUAUACAUGUAGUUGCCAUACCAGCGUACACGUAGAAAGAAAGCAGAACGAGGUACCCACUUUAUCACGUUUGCUUUAGGGGCAACGUUUGCAAGCUUUGUAAAUAUUUUUCUUGGUGAAUAUUAAUAUCAGUUUUACCACCAGAUUAGCUUUCUGGAAAAAUUCUAUAUAUGUAUCUUUUUCUUUAUCGAUAUUAUUGGAAUAUUAGUGUAUGGUCUUAUACUUUUCUGCACGUUUUCGGGUGAAUACAAUUUAUUUGAUUAAAAUUGACAUAAGA